rnacentral:rRNA from 1 species
UACAGAGGUCUCAAGCGUUGUUCGGAUUCAUUGGGCGUAAAGGGUGCGUAGGUGGCAUGGUAAGUCGGACGUGAAAUCCCGGGGCUCAACCCCGGAACUGCAUUCGAUACUGCUGAGCUAGAGUACUGGAGAGGAGAUUGGAAUUUACGGUGUAGCAGUGAAAUGCGUAGAUAUCGCAAGGAAGACCAGUGGCGAAGGCGGAUCUCUGGACAGUUACUGACACUGAGGCACGAAGGCCAGGGGAGCAAACGGG